CCCUUCGGGGUGGAUUAGUGGCGAACGGGUGAGUAACACGUGGGCAAUCUGCCCUUCACUCUGGGACAAGCCCUGGAAACGGGGUCUAAUACCGGAUACGACACAGGGAGGCAUCUCCUCGUCUGGAAAGCUCCGGCGGUGAAGGAUGAGCCCGCGGCCUAUCAGCUUGUUGGUGGGGUAACGGCCCACCAAGGCGACGACGGGUAGCCGGCCUGAGAGGGCGACCGGCCACACUGGGACUGAGACACGGCCCAAACUCCUACGGGAGGCAGCAGUGGGGAAUAUUGCACAAUGGGCGAAAGCCUGAUGCACCGACGCCGCGUGAGGGAUGACGGCCUUCGGGUUGUAAACCUCUUUCAGCAGGGAAGAAGCGAAAGUGACGGUACCUGCAGAAGAAGCGCCGGCUAACUACGUGCCAGCAGCCGCGGUAAUACGUAGGGCGCAAGCGUUGUCCGGAAUUAUUGGGCGUAAAGAGCUCGUAGGCGGCUUGUCACGUCCGGUGUGAAAGCCCGGGGCUUAACCCCGGGUCUGCAUUCGAUACGGGCAAGCUAGAGUGUGGUAGGGGAGAUCGGAAUUCCUGGUGUAGCGGUGAAAUGCGCAGAUAUCAGGAGGAACACCGGGUGGCGAA
rnacentral:rRNA from 1 species